GACGAACGCUGGCAGCGUGCUUAACACAUGCAAGUCGAACGAUGAAGCUAGAGCUUGCUCUGGUGAAUUAGUGGCGAACGGGUGAGUAACACGUGAGUAACCUGCCCCGAACUCUGGGAUAACUGCUGGAAACGGUAGCUAAUACUGGAUACGACCUACGAAGGCAUCUUCUGUAGGUGGAAAGAAUUUCGGUUCGGGAUGGACUCGCGGCCUAUCAGCUUGUUGGUGAGGUAAUGGCUCACCAAGGCGACGGCGGGUAGGCGGCCGGAGGGGGGGACCGGCCACACUGGGACUGAGACACGGCCCAGACUCCUACGGGAGGCAGCAGUGGGGAAUAUUGCACAAUGGGCGCAAGCCUGAUGCAGCAACGCCGCGUGAGGGAUGACGGCCUUCGGGUUGUAAACCUCUUUUAGUAGGGAAGAAGCGAAAGUGACGGUACCUGCAGAAAAAGCACCGGCUAACUACGUGCCAGCAGCCGCGGUAA
rnacentral:rRNA from 1 species